UUCAAACAUUUGAUAGCUAUUCCACCCAGGCUAUCAUUAACGUCCUUAAUUUCUCGCAUCAAUUAUAACGCCGUUAACUGGAUAGGAUUGAAUUGAUACAAAUUUCAAAACAUAGGUACCAAAUGCCUACAUUUUUAAAACCGGGUACUAAACAGAAAAUUACCUCCUAACAUGGGGACUAAGUAGGUAAUUAAGCCUUUAAAAUAAUCUGAAAGAAGACCCUUGGAGCUCAUCUCACGUGGACAUGGCAGCAGGAGCCCUUCUCCCUAAGCACACGUGUGUUUCUUCCACCAUCCAAAACUCUGGACCCGUGACAACACCACUUCAUUUCUCCAUGAAAAUGAAUCAGCACCUGUGCUUUCUCUCCAGCCCAGCCGUGACACCACCCUUCUCAAAUUUAAUGCGCUACAUUUUUCUAAGCAAAAAAUAAAAUAAAAUAUCCGCUUCCAUUUAAAAGCCAAAAUAUAUAUGCUGUAAAAAUUUCAUCCAGACCGUAACGUCUCUUCUCCCAUGAGUCAGCGUGCUAUUUUCUAAAGAAAGAAAAGAAAAUUCAAUUCCCCUGCUGCUUCUAGAACAAAAGAAAGAAAAUGCUAGUAACACAAAAUGAAGGUGGCGGAUCUUCCUGAUUCAAAGCAAAAACAUCAAAUUCGUACAUUCUCCUAAGUGAGAAAAAGAAAAGCCUCCGUGGCCGCUACAGCUCCAGGCCGAGAACCUUCUUCCAGCACCAAAGACACCCUUUCUCCUACAUUCUCCUAAAACAUUCAAAGCCAAAAGCCUAAAAACCAAAACUCAGAAAGUGGCGGCUGGAUGCAGCUCCAGGCCGAGACACCUCCUUCCAGGACCAAGCUAAGACACCCUUUCUCCUACAUUCUCCUAAAACGUUCAAAGCCAAAAGCCUAAAAACCAAAACUCAUAAAGUGGCGGCUGGAUGCAGCUCCAGGCCGAGACACCUCCUUCCAGGACC
rnacentral:sRNA from 1 species